rnacentral:rRNA from 1 species
AACGAACGCUGGCGGCAGGCCUAACACAUGCAAGUCGAACGCCGUAGCAAUACGGAGUGGCAGACGGGUGAGUAACACGUGGGAACGUACCUUUCGGUUCGGAAUAACUCAGGGAAACUUGAGCUAAUACCGGAUACGUGCGAGAGCAGAAAGAUUUAUCGCCGAAAGAUCGGCCCGCGUCCGAUUAGCUUGUUGGUGAGGUAAUGGCUCACCAAGGCGACGAUCGGUAGCUGGUCUGAGAGGAUGAUCAGCCACACUGGAACUGAGACACGGUCCAGACUCCUACGGGAGGCAGCAGUGGGGAAUAUUGGACAAUGGGCGAAAGCCUGAUCCAGCAAUGCCGCGUGAGUGAAGAAGGCCUUAGGGUUGUAAAGCUCUUUUAGUAAGGAAAUAAUAGAUGGUACUU